rnacentral:rRNA from 1 species
AACGAACGCUGGCGGCAUGCCUAACACAUGCAAGUCGAACGAUCCCUUCGGGGAUAGUGGCGCACGGGUGUGUAACGCGUGGGAACCUGCCCUUAUGUUCGGAAUAACUCAGAGAAAUUUGAGCUAAUACCGGAUAAUGUCUUCUGACCACAGAUUUAUCGUCUUUGGAUGGGCCCGCGUUGUAUUAGCUAGUUGGUGGGGUAAGGGCCUACCAAGGCGACGAUACAUAGCUGGUCUGAGAGGAUGAUCAGCCACACUGAGACUGAGACACGGCCCAGACUCCUACAGGAGGCAGCAAUGGGGAAUAUUGGACAAUCGGCUAAAGCAUGAACCAGCAAGGCCGCUAGAGUGAUGAAGUCCUGAGGGUUAAAAAGCUCUUUUACCCGGGAUGAUAAUGACAGUACCCGAAGAAUAAGCCCCGGCUAACUCCGUG